AUGCAGUUCACAGCAAAAGUCAACGAAUCGUUCGAGUAUUUGGAAGAGACUGAAUUCGAGAUGAGUCUAAAAGUGUUUAAACUCAAAUUAAAUAUUUUACGAUGUCUUAACAUC
rnacentral:ribozyme from 1 species